AGUGCAGAGCUCAUGCACAAGCCCAAAGGGAUCAGAGGGUGCUCAGCACCCAGGGAUGGGCUGCAACAAGCACUGGGACCCUUGGCAAAUAAUCUGCCAUGAAUGGCAUGUCCUGAGAGGCUGCUGAGGUGUGCUCUAGGAUUUACAAACUCCAGACCCUCCUGUUCAUACAGAGCAUAUCAGCUGUGCUGAAGCAAAGAGGAGAGCCAGAAGAGCAAAUGAGACAAGGCAGCAAACACUGCAGCUUGGGCAGGUGGGGUUCUACUGAACCAAGUGUUUGCCUGAUUUGGGCACAACAGCGGGGUUUUCAUAGGAAUGUUCACCUCCCUUGCUGAGCCUCCUAACAAAGUACAAAAAGAAGAGAAGAUCAGCAUCAUCAGGAAAGCAGACUUCAUCUUGACAGUUACAAAGAAGCUGACCUUGUUGCUCUGUUGAUGAGCUUGCAGUGCAAUGCAAAGAAAAGCAGCCAGCAUUUGCUGUGAGAUGCGCAGUGCAUUAAAUCCAUGGAGACAGGAGCACACAGGCCCUUUGCUGGGUAAUGGCAGGCACACAGCAAAUACAGUCACAUAUCAAACCUUUCUGUUGGGGGGGAGCUGUGGGAUUACCUGUACAUCUUUAUAUGAUCACUCAGUUAAAAAAAGAGCACUUUGGUGGCUUUCCCACCCUUGGCAGAUGGCUUGGGCUGGCAGUGGGAGCGUGCAGAGAGCCAGAGGCAGCUCUGCUGGAUGUGCCCUGCCCUCCUUUCCAUUGUGUCCCUUCUGUAUCCCCUGGCUCUCGUGGCUCCCAGCUGGCAGGGACCUGCACAGAGGUGCCAGAGGCAGCCCUGCCUCAUUAAUGUGCCCUGCUCUCCUUUCCAUUGUGUCCUUUCUGUAUGCCCUGGCUCUUGUGGCUCUCAGCUGGCAGGGACCUGCACAGAGGUGCCAGCCAGCCCCAGGCAGGCAGGGCUGGCACUGAUUAAGUGCCUCUCCAAGUGAUGUGAUAUUAGAGGGGUUUUAACCAGCCCUGGAAAAAGACUUUUGUUUUGCUGUUGAACUAGCAAAGAUUAGGUGGCAUUUGAAUUACUGCUUCACCCCUUUCAUUUCCAAGACUAUGAACAUGUUUGCAUUGGUUUCCUCACUCAAGAGGUCUUGUCUGGCAGGACUGGCCAUCAGUCUCUCCUGAUGCUGUCUGUUGUCCCAGAGCCUCCAGUGACUAUGCAAAGUGCUGGAUGCUACAUGCUCAUUCCAGAUUUAUCAGUGCAAUUUGCAUGUACUUAAUAUUUGUGCUUCACUGAUGUAAAACUUGAAUAUUAUUGGUUUAUUAACUUUUUUCUGGGGGGGAAGGUUAUUACUUUGCUUUAUGGAGGUGUUUAAAAUGUGCAGAACUUGAUGUAGAUGCUUUGAUUGCAUGCAUAAAACUUGUAGGAAAUACUGUAAUAAAGCUCAUAGAGCAGAUAGUAAAUGUCUUCAUGUUUGGAAGG